UUUAAAUGGCCGCAGUACCUUGACUGUGCUAAGGUAGCAUAAUCAAUUGGCUUCUAAUUAAAGUCUAGAAUGAAAGGAAGUAUGAGGUAAUUCUAUCUUAAAUGAUUUUUUUUUAAUUUAUUUAAAUGAUGAAAAUAUCAUUUAUUAGAAAAAAGACGAGAAGACCCUUAGAGUUUGAAUUUUUAGUUUUGUUGGGGCGACAGGUAAACAUUUUAAACUUUACUAUCUUUAUAAUCGAUUUUUAAUAAAAAUAUAAAAACUACCUUAGGGAUAACAGCAUUAUAUUAUUAUAUGAUUGUGACCUC
rnacentral:rRNA from 1 species